UACGAAGGGGCGAGCGUUGUUCGGAUUUACUGGGCGUAAAGGGCGCGCAGGCGGUCUUGAAAGUCAGGCGUGAAAGCCCCGGGCUUAACCUGGGAAUUGCGCUUGAUACUCUGAGACUGGAGUACGGGAGAGGAGAGUGGAAUUCCCAGUGUAGAGGUGAAAUUCGUAGAUAUUGGGAAGAACACCAGUGGCGAAGGCGGCUCUCUGGACCGUAACUGACGCUGAGGCGCGAAAGCGUGGGGAGCAAACAGG
rnacentral:rRNA from 1 species